GAUGAACGCUGACAGAAUGCUUAACACAUGCAAGUCGAUGGGGAAGUGGUGCUUGCACCAUGGCAACCAUGGCGGACGGGUGAGUAACGCGUAAGGGACUUACCUGCAGGACUGGGAUAACAGGGGGAAACUCCUGACAAGACCGGAUAAUGUCAUGGAGCUGCAUGGCUUUAUGAUGAAAGGAGACGCCUGCGGAGAGCCUUGCGUCCUAUUAGCUAGUUGGUGAGGUAAUGGCUCACCAAGGCGAUGAUAGGUAGCCGGCCUGACAGGGUGGACGGCCACAAGGGGACUGAGAUACGGCCCUUACUCCUACGGGAGGCAGCAGUGGGGAAUAUUGGACAAUGGGGGCAACCCUGAUCCAGCAAUUCUGUGUGCACGAAGAAGGUUUUCGGAUUGUAAAGUGCUUUCAGCAGGGAAGAAGUAAGUGACGGUACCUGCAGAAGAAGCGACGGCUAAAUACGUG
rnacentral:rRNA from 1 species